rnacentral:rRNA from 1 species
GGGGGCCCGCACAAGCGGUGGAGCAUGUGGUUUAAUUCGAAGCAACGCGAAGAACCUUACCAGGUCUUGACAUCCUUUGACCACUCUGGAGACAGAGCUUUCCCUUCGGGGACAAAGUGACAGGUGGUGCAUGGUUGUCGUCAGCUCGUGUCGUGAGAUGUUGGGUUAAGUCCCGCAACGAGCGCAACCCUUGAUUUUAGUUGCCAGCAUUUAGUUGGGCACUCUAAAGUGACUGCCGGUGCAAGCCGGAGGAAGGUGGGGAUGACGUCAAAUCAUCAUGCCCCUUAUGACCUGGGCUACACACGUGCUACAAUGGAUAGUACAAAGGGUCGCGAAGCCGCGAGGUGGAGCUAAUCCCAUAAAACUAUUCUCAGUUCGGAUUGUAGGCUGCAACUCGCCUACAUGAAGCCGGAAUCGCUAGUAAUCGUGGAUCAGCAUGCCACGGUGAAUACGUUCCCGGGCCUUGUACACACCGCCCGUCACACCACGAGAGUUUGUAACACCCGAAGUCGGUAGGGUAACCUUUAUGGAGCCAGCCGCCGAAGGUGGGACAGAUAAUUGGGGUGAAGUCGUAACAAGGUAGCCGUAUCGGAAGGUGCGGCUGGAUCACCUCCUUUCUAAGGAA